GCUGGCGUAGCUCAAUGGCAGAGCACCUGUUUUGUAAACAGGCGGCUGCGGGUUCGAGUCCCACCGCUAGCU
rnacentral:tRNA from 2 species